GCUCAGUGACUUGGACACAGACUCAUUUGGUAGUUCCCGACAUUAAAGGUCCCUGGAUUAUUUUGCUGGAGCAAAAUAUCUUGGACUGAAAGCUGAGGUGAUCAAAACCCAACACAUAUGGCAGCCAUGCUGUGGUGAUGCUCGCUGUAUCAUUAGUCUGGCACUCCUACAGUGAAAUCUGCAGACUGAUGUCACCAUUUGCAUCUAAGUUCACUCCCGGAUCACUCGUGUUUGCUGCUUUGGAGAAACCAAAGUAAUAAAAGCUGAUGUAAGUAUGACUUAAUAACUAAUAAUGUGGGGUUACACUUGAGUGAAUGCAAAUAGGGCCAGCACAUGGCACA